UCUCUCUCUCUCCCUCUCCCUUCCUCUUUGAAAUCAAUAAAAAUAUAUUUUAAAAAAUAAAAUGAGAAAAAGCAUCUUUAAAAAAGUUAACUAUUCUUGGGAUGGAGGCUGUAUAAAAUCAGGUGGCAGGAGGGGUGUCCCAUGAGCUGUGGUUCACCCACUGGGAUGUACAGCACCGAAUAAUUAAUAUAUCAUAACUGAGCUGGGAUAAAAGAGGGCUCAUGUCGGAUGGGCGUACAUCGGACCAAGACAGCAGCCCUGGCUGGGGAAGUUAGUUUAGCUGGUGGAGUCUUCCUGGAGUGCCCCCUCCCCAGCAUUGGGGUCACCCCCAAACAGGUUUUGGAAACUUAGGCUCUGAGCCUAAGAACCCUCUAAGGGAGCUCUCCCCAGGGCUCGGCCUCUGUCCUACACAGCGAGGCCUCAUCAGGGGCUGCAAGGAGCCGCACCUGCCUUCUCCUGGGGGCGGCCAGUUUCCGCUUUUCAACAGCCCCUCCUUUCUCAGAACUCUCGCGACGUUUUCCUCAGCACGUCUGACGCCAUCUAUCCCUUUUAACCUUUUAGUUAACUUUUCUCUCUGCGCAUUUCUUUCCUCAACGACUGAACUCUGAGCUAGGUGAGGGAAGAAUCUGCCUGCCUUCCGGGCACCCAGCAUAGCGCCUGCACACAGUAGGUGCUGCCAUACCACAGAAGAAAAGCAAACAUGGGACAUCCCAGGCCCCACCCACCCUCGUGGGGCUGCUGGAGCCAGCCUCUGGGUCAGCCCACCCUGCUGGCCACAUCCUUCCUGCCUCCGGCCCCGCGCGGAGGAGGACAAGGCCUUACAGCUGGGCAGACCUCGGGCCGGAUCCUGCAGGCCAUCUCCCUCACCUGGGAUGAGCUGCUUUCCCUCUCUGAGCUUCAGUUGCUGCAGCUGAGAACAAAGACCUCACCCGGCAGGAGGACCGCAGGGACUGGACGGGACCGUGAGUGGCUGGCACACAGUAGGUGCUUCACCAGCGCUGGCCCCGCCAGCAGGUUCUCUGUGCUUCAGCAUUUGGUGGCCCCAUGGCCUGCUCUCCGCCCAGGGCCUGACGACAGACACCCCGCUCGCUUUCUCCUAUAAGCUCCUCCCCGGGUUCCAGAUGGGCCGCAAAGGAGGAUGAGCCCAGCGCUUGCCCCUGUCCACGUGGGAGCCGCCACCUCGACCUCUGAUCACGGCCUCGGGAAGAAGCAGGGAUGCUCAGCGGUGGAGUUCGAGGCUGCUGGGGAGGUCCAAGUGCCUCCAGUUCUCAUCCGAAGAGGAACACGCCAGAGAGUCGCCACUCAAGGUGGCAAAGGUCACACAGGCCACGGGGAGAGGCAAGUCCUGAGGUGGCGGCCCUGGGGGAGGGUGGAGAACCCACGCCCUGGUCUCCGGAGGAGCCCGCGUGGCUCUGACUCCGCACGGGGACACGCAGCCCUCCUGCUCCUGGGCCCUGGCUCCCAGCUGGGCCACAGCCAGCCACGUGGGCCCGUGGCAGGGACACGCGUGUGUGUCUGGGCCCCACAGCUCCGUGAGGAAGCCCAGAGAAGCCCUGGGCUGUGACCCGGGGCUGGGGACAGUAAAUCAUCAUCUCCUGUACUACAGUGACCCUGAGAAGCAAGGGGUAUUUUUUUCUGGCUUAAAGAGAUUGAAAAAUGAAGCUCAGAGAGGCUACGUCAUUCGCUUGAGUCAACCCCCCCAAGUAGGCGCCAAGAAGACAUCAGAAUGCAGUCAGUCUGCAUAUUCAUCUUCCCAAGAGCUAAAGGCAGCAUGCACUUCUGUUCCUGACCGGGGACAAGGCCUGGGGCCCUCUGUGGGUUCGCCAGAGAAGCUUCUGGAAAAUUUCUGAACUCCCCAAAGAGAAGAACAUCUCCCCCCUCUCGUGCAAGCACGUCCCCUCAGGCCCGGGGCAGCCUAACAGGAGGCUUUGCUGCACCUGGGUGCCCACCCACCAGGCAACAAAAGCCGAAGAUGGAGAGUGGGGAUCAGUGGGCACGAGAGCUGCACCCCAGGUCCCAGCCGUCCGUCCGGAGGGGGCUGGAGGCCGGCCUUGGCAGGGAACCUUCUCUCUGCCCAGGGCCAUUUGGGUGUUUACGACAUCAUUCCAGGGCCAAACAAAAGGAUCAACUUGAACAUGAGCCUGCUGCAUGUGGUGAAACAUUUCAUGAACUCACCCCGGAUGCCCUGGCAGGGCCAGACCAAAGGGUUUCUCGGGCCUUCAAUGGCCCCUGCUUUGGAGUAUGAAAACAGCCUUAUCAGGGAGGGAAAGGGUGAACUCUGACCCCCGCGGGAAAGUCAGUAGGCCUGGAUGGGAGACAAGGCUGCUUCCCUUUGAACUUGGUUUGCACAACUGUGUGUUGAGUUCCACAGUUCACCCUUGGACAGUGUGGGGGGUUGGGGCACUGACACCCCACGCAGUCGAAAAUCCACGUAUAACUUUGGACUCCCCCAAACCUUAAUUACUAACGACCUACUGUUGACCGGAAGCCUUGCUGAUCGCAUAAACCAGUGGUUCUCAACCUUCCUGAGGCCGCGACCCUUUCAUGCAGUUCCUCAUGGUGUGGGGACCCCCAGCCAUAAAAUUAUUUUCGUGGCUACAUAACUGUCAUGUUGCUACUGUUAUGAAUCGUCAUGUAAAUAUCUGAAAUGCAGGAUGUAUUCUCAUUGUUCGCGACCCACAGGUUGAGAACCGUUAUUAACGUUCAACAGUCGACUAACACAUAUUCUGUGUUCUAUGCAUUACAUACUGUAUCGCCACACUAACGUGAACUAAGGGGAAGAACAGGUGAUUAAGAAUAUAAAGAGUUUCACCUGCG